rfam:TNVERIFIED: Cronobacter phage S13, complete genome.
CCGUGCGUAGCUCAGUCUGGUCAGAGUGCACCGUUUGGGGCGGUGAUGUCGAGAGUUCAAAUCCCUCCGCACGGA